rnacentral:tRNA from 1 species
GACCGUGUAGCUCAGUUGGUUAGAGCGUGGUGCUAAUACUACAAUCAGUGUAACGCCAAGGUCGCGAGUUCGACCCUCGUCAUGGUCA